UACGUAGGCAGCGAGCGUUGUUCGGAGUUACUGGGCGUAAAGCGUGCGUAGGCGGUGUCUUAAGUUUGUUGUGAAAAUCUCCCGGCUUAACCGGGAGGGUGCGGCGAAUACUGAGAUGCUGGAGUGCCGGAGAGGUAAGCGGAAUUCCUGGUGUAGCGGUGAAAAUGCGUAGAUAUCAGGAGGAACACCUGCGGUGUAGACGGCUUACUGGACGGUAACUGACGCUGAGGCACGAAAAGCGUGGGGUAGCAAAACAGG
rnacentral:rRNA from 1 species